rnacentral:rRNA from 1 species
GACGUAGGGCGCGAGCGUUUGUCCGGAUUUAUUGGGCGUAAAGAGCUCGUAGGCGGCUCGUUGCGUCGGCUGUGAAAAACCCGCAGCUCAACUGUGGGCUUGCGGUUGAUACGGGCAGACUAGAGGUAGGUAGGGGAGAAUGGAAUUCCCGGUGUAGCGGUGAAAUGCGCAGAUAUCGGGAGGAACACCGGUGGCGAAGGCGGUUCUCUGGGCCUUACCUGACGCUGAGGAGCGAAAGCGUGGGGAGCGAACAGG